AUGCAAGUCGUACGGGGAGGGCGGAGAUAGCAAUAUUUCCGCCUCUUCCAGUGGCGGAAGGGCGAGUAACGCCUGAACAACCUGCCCCUUUGCUGGGAAUAACGCGGGGAAACCCGUGCUAAUGCCGAAUGAGGCGCCCCGGGGCAUCCCGGGAGCGCGAAAGGCGGGGACCGAAAGGCCUGCCGCAGAGGGAGGGGUUCAGGUACCAUCAGCUGGUUGGUGGGGUGACGGCCUACCAAGGCGACGACGGUUAGCUGGUCUGAGAGGACGACCAGCCGCACUGGGACUGAGAUACUGCCCAGACUCCUACGGGAGGCUGCAGUCGAGGAUCAUUCGCAAUGGGCGCAAGCCUGACGAUGCGACGCUGCGUGGAGGAUGAAGGGCUUCGGCUCGUAAACUCCUGUCAUGGGGGAAAAAGGUCCCCGCUGUCAACAGCGGCGGGGCUUGAUGGUACUCCAAGAGGAAGCCACGGCUAACUCUGUUGCAGCAGCCGCGGUAAUACAGAGGUGGCGAGCGUUGUUUCGGAUUUACUGGGCGUAAAGGGCGCGCGGGC
rnacentral:rRNA from 1 species